rnacentral:rRNA from 1 species
GACGAACGCUGGCGGCGUGCCUAAUACAUGCAAGUAGAACGCUGAAGGAGGAGCUUGCUUCUCUGGAUGAGUUGCGAACGGGUGAGUAACGCGUAGGUAACCUGCCUGGUAGCGGGGGAUAACUAUUGGAAACGAUAGCUAAUACCGCAUAAGAGUAGAUGUUGCAUGACAUUUGCUUAAAAGGUGCAAUUGCAUCACUACCAGAUGGACCUGCGUUGUAUUAGCUAGUUGGUGGGGUAACGGCUCACCAAGGCGACGAUACAUAGCCGACCUGAGAGGGUGAUCGGCCACACUGGGACUGAGACACGGCCCAGACUCCUACGGGAGGCAGCAGUAGGGAAUCUUCGGCAAUGGACGGAAGUCUGACCGAGCAACGCCGCGUGAGUGAAGAAGGUUUUCGGAUCGUAAAGCUCUGUUGUAAGAGAAGAACGAGUGUGGGAGUGGAAAGUUCACACUGUGACGGUAUCUGACCAGAAAGGGACGGCUAACUACGUG